AACGAACGCUGGCGGCAGGCCUAACACAUGCAAGUCGAGCGGACCCUUCGGGGUUAGCGGCGGACGGGUGAGUAACGCGUGGGAAUAUGCCCUUCUCUACGGAAUAGUCCUGGGAAACUGGGGGUAAUACCGUAUACGCCCUUUGGGGGAAAGAUUUAUCGGGGAAGGAUUAGCCCGCGUUGGAUUAGGUAGUUGGUGGGGUAAUGGCCUAACAAGCAGACGAUCCAUAGCUGGUUUGAGAGGAUGAUCGGCCACACUGGAACUGAGACACGGCCCAGACUCUGACGGGAGGCAGCAGUGGGGAAACUGAGACAAUGGGGGCAAACCUGAUAAAGCCAUGCCGCGUGAGUGAUCAAGGCCUUAGGGUUGUAAAGCUCUUUCAGCUGGGAAGGUAAUGACGGUACCAGCAGAAGAAGCCCCGGCUAACUCCGUG
rnacentral:rRNA from 1 species